AUGGGCUCUCUGUCGGACUCGCAGGCGAAUGGCGACCGUCAGCCGCCGCCGGCGGAGGCGGAGGAUGCCGGGCCGCAGGUCGAGGAGGGAGAUACCGGCGAGAAGAUGGAGGGCGUCGCAUCCAUCGCGCUGCUGCCCUCUGGCGCCAUCUCCGGCCACUUCAUCCGCCUCCCGGACUCCGCCUGCUACGGCCUCCAGGGCACCCCGAUACCAUGCGAGAGGGAAUGUAGCCGAGGAGAUGAUUACCGCCUUAUAAAGCUAUCCAUCAUUAAUUUUAAGAGGAAGACAGAGAAGGUGGUUGUGGUGGAAUGCAGGGGACAUGAUGCUGCUCGAUUACAAAACAUUGACCAUUUGCAUGGAUGGGAAGAUGACGUUGUUGGACUGGUUCAAAAGAAACAUGGGAAUAAGAAAGUCUUGGUCUCUUUCGAAUGCGAGACGCUGAAGGCUGAUAAAGCCGCUGAAGAACAUAUUAGCAAGUAUAUGCCAAAUCUUUGCGGACUGGACGCAGUUGUAAACACGGGGAAGAUGAGUAUCUCCGGCAUCAACCUAGACGAGGACGAUGAACCAAGCGGCGACAGCUGA
rnacentral:rRNA from 1 species